CCAGACGGCUGGACGGUCGCUGGCGGUUCGCCGUCAGAGGAAAGUCCGGGCUCCACGGAAAAGCGGUGCCGGCUAACGGCCGGCGGGGGCGACCCCAGGGAUAGUGCCACAGAAAGCAAACCGCCCCGGCUUGCCGGGGUAAGGGUGAAAGGGUGCGGUAAGAGCGCACCGCCUUUCCGGUAACGGAAAGGGCAUGGAAAACCCCACCGGGAGCAAAACCGAAUAGGGGCGACCGGCGCACUGCGGCAACGCGGGGGUGCAAAGCAAUUUCCGGCUUGUCGCCCGGGUUGGUUGCUUGAGGCGGAUGGAAACGUCCGUCCCAGAGGAAUGGCCGUCCAGCACCCGUUUUGGGAGCGGACAGAACCCGGCUUAUAGGCCGUCUGGAUCA
rnacentral:RNase_P_RNA from 1 species